CCUAAGCAAAGAUGAAGAGGACAAGGACAACAAUGUAUACUUUUUGAAGAAUGAUGAUCCUAAUCUUAUAAUCAAAUCAAGGAAAUACCAAAGGUAUUUUAUUUCUAGUAAAUCAAGGACACCUAUGUUAUAGUUUUUACACAUUAUUUUUUAUUCUUCUCCAAGAAUUUCUGCAUUUAUGUAGAACCUAAGCAGAGGACGCCAUUAAAGUUGAAAUUCUUUUGAAAAACGAACUCUAUAACCACACUACUCAUUUGUCUAUAUCUUUUUUUUUAACCUUUAUGAUCGCAGGCGUAACUUUCGGAUAAGAGAUUGAGGGUUGUUCCCUAAUAAAUGGUUAGUUCCUACUUCACUUCAAAGUUCAAUGUAUAUUUUGAUUUUUCCAUAUGAGAAAGUUAGGUUUUUUGCUUCUCUUCUUUUAUAUUACAUCACACACAAAUAGUUUCUAUUAACCAUCAACUUUGAUUGCAGUUGCUCACAAUUUCACAUCUGCAAUUUCAUAAUAUAUUUGUUGUCCCUUGAUGAAAAGAAAAAAGGUAUCAAUGAGGUGCAACUAAUUAUGAAGGCUUUGAUGAAUUAUUGAAUUUAACUUCACCAUUACAAGGAAGGAUGAAGAAUCGAGAUGAGCAAUAUGUUGAAUGUAUAGAGAGAAAUUGAGGAUGCUCUGGAAAUACUUAAUGACUAAUUCAGCAGUCCAUGAAUCCUCAUAAUUUCACAUUAUUUGAAAUAUGUGAUGAUGAGAUCGCAAGAAAUGUUACUUUGUUUUUCGUAGUAAUUAUCAUGUAAGAAGAAAAAAGAAG